UGGGGGAUAUUGCACAAUGGGCGAAAGCCUGAUGCAGCGACGCCGCGUGGGGGAUGAAGGCCUUCGGGUUGUAAACUUCUUUUGCUCUGAACAAGGCAUGCCUUUGGGGUGUGUUGAGUGUAGGGGUUGAUUAGCGCCGGCUAACUACGUGCCAGCAGCCGCGGUAAUACGUAGGGCGCGAGCGUUGUCCGGAAUUAUUGGGCGUAAAGGGCUUGUAGGUGGCUGGGUGCGUCUGUCGUGAAAGCUCAUGGCUUAACUGUGGGUUUGCGGUGGGUACGGGCUGGCUUGAGUGCAGUAGGGGAGGCUGGAAUUCCUGGUGUAGCGGUGGAAUGCGCAGAUAUCAGGAGGAAUACCGGUGGCGAAGGCGGGUCUCUAGGCUGUUACUGACGCUGAGGAGCGAAAGCGUGGGGAGCGAACAGG
rnacentral:rRNA from 1 species